UACGUAGGGGGCAAGCGUUGUCCGGAAUCAUUGGGCGUAAAGCGCGUGUAGGCGGCUCAGUAAGUCCGCUCUGAAAGCCCGGGGCUCAACCUCGGAACUGCCUUCGAUACUGCGGGUCUCGAGUCCGGGAGAGGUGAGUGGAAUUCCUAGUGUAGAGGUGAAAUUCGUAGAUAUUAGGAAGAACACCAGUGGCGAAGGCGGCUCACUGGCCCGGUACUGACGCUGAGGCGCGAAAGCGUGGGGAGCAAACAGG
rnacentral:rRNA from 1 species